UACGUAGGGUGCAAGCGUUGUCCGGAAUUAUUGGGCGUAAAGAGCUCGUAGGCGGUCUGUCGCGUCGGCUGUGAAAACCCGGAGCUCAACUCCGGGCCUGCAGUCGAUACGGGCAAACUGGAGUACUGCAGGGGAGACUGGAAUUCCUGGUGUAGCGGUGAAAUGCGCAGAUAUCAGGAGGAACACCGGUGGCGAAGGCGGGUCUCUGGGCAGUAACUGACGCUGAGGAG
rnacentral:rRNA from 1 species